GACUGUUCUUUCCUGUGAUUGACAACAUGGCCUAAAUCAAUAUUCUUUUAUUUUCAGAUCUCUAUUAUUUUGAAGAAAUCCACAUUUGUCCUGCUGACAAUGUAGGGAGAAGUUAUUCUUCACUGUAGUGGCAUCAGAGGAAACUCUUAGGAGGAUUACGUUAUAUGAAUGAGUUUGAUAGGAGUCACCAUGGUGAGGAAAGGAUAAUGGAAUUUCAGAUCUUGGAAUAAACUGAA
rnacentral:lncRNA from 1 species